rnacentral:misc_RNA from 1 species
UCCGGUUUGUCACCGGCAGUCUCCUUAGAGCUCCCAACUGAAUGAUGGCAACUAAGGACAAGGGUUGCGCUCGUUGCGGGACUUAACCCAACAUCUCACGACACGAGCUGACGACAACCAUGCACCACCUGUGAACCGACCGCAAGCGGGGCACCUGUUUCCAGGUAUUACCGGUCCAUGUCAAGCCUUGGUAAGGUUCUUCGCGUUGCAUCGAAUUAAUCCGCAUGCUCCGCCGCUUGUGCGGGCCCCCGUCAAUUCCUUUGAGUUUUAGCCUUGCGGCCGUACUCCCCAGGCGGGGCACUUAUCGCAUUCGUUUCGACAGUGACGGCAUCGGACCUCCACUGCCUAGUGCCCAUCGUUUACAGCUAGGACUAC